AGUAAAUUGGUUAAGUUAGAAAGGGCGCACGGUGGAUGCCUUGGCACUAGGAGCCGAAGAAGGACGGGACUAACACCGAUAUGCUUUGGGGAGCUGUACGUAAGCGUUGAUCCAGAGAUUUCCGAAUGGGGGAACCCACUAUCUUUAGUCGGAUAGUAUCCUUACGUGAAUACAUAGCGUGAGGAAGGCAGACCCAGGGAACUGAAACAUCUAAGUACCUGGAGGAAGAGAAAGAAAAAUCGAUUUCCUGAGUAGCGGCGAGCGAAACGGAAAGAGCCCAAACCAAGAAGCUUGCUUCUUGGGGUUGUAGGACACUCUAUACGGAGUUACAAAAGAAAGUUAUAAAUGAAGCGGUCUGGAAAGGCCCGCCAAAGACGGUAACAGCCCGGUAGUUGAAAUGGCUUUCCCUCCAGAGUGGAUCCUGAGUACGGCGGAACACGUGAAAUUCCGUCGGAAUCCGGGAGGACCAUCUCCCAAGGCUAAAUACUCCCUAGUGACCGAUAGUGAACCAGUACCGUGAGGGAAAG
rnacentral:rRNA from 1 species